rnacentral:rRNA from 1 species
CGCGUAGGUGGCUUGUCAGGUCCGGUGUGAAAACCUGGGGCUCAACUCCAGGCGUGCAUUGGAAACCGGCUUGCUAGAGUCUGGGAGAGGAGAGUGGAAUUCCUGGUGUAGCGGUGAAAUGCGUAGAUAUCAGGAGGAACACCGGUAGCGAAGGCGGCUCUCUGGAACAGUACUGACGCUGAGGCGCGAAAGCUAGGGGAGCGAACAG